ACCCUGGUAGAUAAAAAAUAAUGCAAUUAUUAAAAUAUAAUAAUAACUAAGUACUUGUAUUAUACUGCCUAUAUAAACUAUAGCUCAUUUGAUGCGAAAUUCAGUAGGUAAUACUCGUAUUAUUGUAUUGUAUUAAUUACGAUUAAAUCGAUACACAACAUUUUAAACGAUUAUAAACGCCAAUAAUUAAAAAUUAUUAUUCGUGAAAUAAUCAUAGUACGUCGUAUCGAGUAUUUUUAUUUAAUUUUUUCUCGCACGUCAUUAUGUAGUACCUAUGUGUCUAUCUGCCCACGCUACCUGUGUGUAAACGCGUAGAUGCCCAUUGAAACAUUAGAAAAAUAUAAGAAACCAGAACGUGUACAUUUUAUAAUCAAUCAAUUUUAAGGUACUUUGAAAAGAAGAGAUCCACAUGUACGUUCAAAGAGCAUUCACCUGAUAAGAAUUUAAAAACACCAUACCCACAUAUAAUAUCUACUUUGUAAUAUAGGUAUGUACGUAUUUGAGAUUAAUUUAUUAUAAUAUGCAUUAUUUCAGAAUAUAUAUAAUCUUAUUGAUUUUGUGUUGUAACUUAUGUGUUUACUUGAAACCCGAUUGUUAGUCCUAAAUGUGAAAAUGUGAAUUGUUUACAUUUUUAGGGCAUACCUAUAUUUUCUAUGGAACCAUAUGACUAAAUAACUAUAUGAGAUUAAGUAAACAAGAUAUUUUAAAAACCAUUCAUUUAAACAAUCAUUUUUAUUUAACGUAAAGUACAAACUAUUUUAUAAUAUUUAAAACCAUUCAUACAGAGUGCAUUUUAAAUUUAAUAAUUUCUAUCAUAAUAUUUGAUUGAAAUAACUGGAUAUUUAACUAAUAGUUAGUUUAUUUUUGAUACUUAAACAUCAAGCAUAUUAUGUACAGCAAUUAUUAAGUUUAAAUGGUUAAUAAUUCAAGUUUAUUGGUUCAAUUAUAUUUUAAAUAAUAUUCGAAUUAAAUAAAAGUAUAAAAAUAUUCGGAUUCUAUAGUAAGAAAAAAAAAUUUGAAUUGGUUAAAAUUGAAUUUUUUAAGUAAGUAUUAUAACUUAAAAGUACUUUAAAAUUUUUCAAAACCCAUAAAUGAACAGGGAUAAUAACUUACUAAUAAGUAUUCCGCAUUAAAAUAACCACUCUGUAUAUUUAUGUAGGUAUAUAUCUAAUGAUAUAAGAACUUAAAUAAUUAAUAUAUAUGUAUUAUAUAUGUUAGGACGUUAGGUUAGGUUAUAUAGUAGAUGAGUGAGGCAGUUAUGUUUGUUUAAAACAGUUUCUCUAGCUAAGACAGUUGUACUAUAAGUCUAUCUUAGUAAAAUAUUAACUAAUGUCUAAUAAUAAAUAAUAAUUAAUAAACAUACUAGAAAUUGUACUGAUGGAUGAGUGUUGUAACCAAAUUUUGUAUAAAUUUAAUGUUUAUAUAUAAAUAUUUUAUGUGUAACUAAUUACUAAAAAAAAAUAU